rfam:Trichoderma harzianum strain T6776 Scaffolds0241.1, whole genome shotgun sequence.
GACACUUUGGCCGAGUGGUUAAGGCGAUGCCCUGCUAUCCCAUGAGAUAACUUCAGGCAUUGUGUUCGCACGCGCAGGUUCGAAUCCUGCAGGUGUCG